UUUAAGUGUAGUUAUGGGUUUUCGCGUCCAUCAUUUGACCGUCCGUCUUUUUUUAAAUUUUUUUAUGAUUGUAUUUCUAUUGUUAUUAGAUGAUAAAAUAUAAAUAAUAAUUUAUAUGUGACUUAAUAUUUUUUAGUUUUCUCAUAAAAUUUAUAAAAUUUUUAAUUAUGAUAGAUGGUCAAAUAUUGGAUGCAGAAACCCAUAAUUACACUUAGA
rfam:Oryza rufipogon genomic scaffold, chr11